rnacentral:rRNA from 1 species
UUUAUUGGAGAGUUUGAUCCUGGCUCAGGAUGAACGCUGGCGGCGUGCCUAAUACAUGCAAGUCGAGCGAAUGGAUUGAGAGCUUGCUCUCAAGAAGUUAGCGGCGGACGGGUGAGUAACACGUGGGUAACCUGCCCAUAAGACUGGGAUAACUCCGGGAAACCGGGGCUAAUACCGGAUAACAUUUUGAACUGCAUGGUUCGAAAUUGAAAGGCGGCUUCGGCUGUCACUUAUGGAUGGACCCGCGUCGCAUUAGCUAGUUGGUGAGGUAACGGCUCACCAAGGCAACGAUGCGUAGCCGACCUGAGAGGGUGAUCGGCCACACUGGGACUGAGACACGGCCCAGACUCCUACGGGAGGCAGCAGUAGGGAAUCUUCCGCAAUG